rnacentral:rRNA from 1 species
AACACGUGACUAACCUACCCCGGUGUGGGGGAUAACGGGUCGAAAGACUCGCUAAUCCCGCAUACGAUCCGCCUCGGCGGAGGAAAGCCGUAAGGCGCACUGGGCGGGGGUCGCGUCCCAUUAGAUAGUUGGUGUGGUAAUGGCGCACCAAGUCGAUGAUGGGUCUCUGGUCUGAGAGGACGACCAGACAGAUUGGGACUGAGACACGGCCCAAACUCCUACGGGGGGCAGCAGCAAGGAAUUUUCGGCAAUGGGCGCAAGCCUGACCGAGCAACGCCGCGUGGAGGAUGACGGCUCUUGGGUUGUAAACUCCUUUUGGGGGGGACGAUAAUGACGGUACCCUCCGAAUCAGGCCCGGCUAACUACGUGCCAGCAGCCGCGGUAAUACGUAGGGGCCAAGCGUUGUCCGGAAUUACUGGGCGUAAAGCGUGGGUAGGUGGUCGGUGAUGUGCCGCGUGAAAGCGCCGGAGUAAUGCCGGCGAGGUCGCGGUAGACACAGCGACUGGAGGCUCGCAGAGGAACGUGGAAUUCCCGGUGUAGCGGUGAAAUGCGUAGGUAUCGGGAGGAACACCAGUGGCGCAAGCGGCGUUCUGGGCGAGACCUGACACUGAGCCACGACGGCGUGGGGAGCAAACAGGAUUAGAUACCCUGGUAGUCCACGCAGUAAACGAUGCAUACCAGGUGUGGGAUGGCGUUCGCGUCGUUCCGUGCCGCAGCUUACGCGAUGAGUAUGCCGCCUGGGGACUACGAGCGCAAGCUUAAAACUCAAAGGAAUUGACGGGGGCCCGCACAAGCAGCGGAGCGUGUGGUUUAAUUCGACGC